rnacentral:rRNA from 1 species
UCCUACGGGAGGCAGCAGUAGGGAAUAUUGGGCAAUGGGCGAAAGCCUGACCCAGCGACGCCGCGUGAGGGAUGAAGGUCUUCGGAUUGUAAACCUCUUUCAGUAGGGAAGAAGCGAAAGUGACGGUACCUAAAGAAGAAGCACCGGCUAACUAUGUGCCAGCAGCCGCGGUAAU